rnacentral:lncRNA from 1 species
UUAUAUAUAUUUUUUCUAUGGAGAUUGAAGAGACGAUUUCAGAGAGUUUUUUUGCUCUUUCUCUGUUCUCUCUUCUAAAUCAUUGACAGAGAAAUAAUGCUUUUUCUCUCUUUCUUUUGAUCAAUGGAUCGAUGGUUUUUUCCAUAUAUAUCGGAUGUUUUGUUCUGACGUAAAUCGGAUAAUAAAGUUCUGGAUUCGUCCGGAUGUCAACCCUUUCUCUUUUACAUCUGGUCCUCCAUAGGUUUGAGGCGGUAGCGAGCAGAUCCUGUGGUGAGUGUCAAGUUUUUUCUUCGAAUUUUGGAUCAUCCUCUCUCUCGACUAGGAGUUUGAUCUCUCCUUAAGUCCCCUCUAUUAAGAGCCAUGCGUCGCGUUGUGUGAUAUGUCCAAAGUCAAAGACGAUCAGUGCUAAUUUUAAUCGGAGUUUCAAGCUUUUGACAAUUUCUAAUCUAGAUCUAAUCAGAGGAAGAAUUAGCGGUGAAGAAGCAGCAAUUAAAGGUGAUGUGAAUCCAUUGGAGUUAACUUAUAUGGUUAUACUCUCUUGAUUAUCGGUUUCCAGCAAAGCUCUGACCGGCGAUGGAUCAGCGGCAUCUUCUCACCAGGAGCCGACGUCUUUCCCAAGCCUGCCGCGUGUCUUACAUGUGUUUAUUAUUUAUCAAUCUUUAUCUGUUAGUAAUAUGCUUAAAUGAGGUUGAUUUAGAAUUUAAUGUAUACGGUUUUGGGCCUUUAUUUGCUGUAAUUUUCCCGCUUUUAGGUUUUCAUAAUGAUAUUAAAUGGACGACCAAAAAAAAUAUAUAUUUUUUCUAUAUAAUUAAUAUUCAUAUAUGACUAUUUUCAAUGUUAAAGUCAAAUUUCUAUUAUUUUUAUGUGCUGUGAAAAUAUACAUAUAUAUAUUUAUUGUCGAAUAGAAAUGGUUGCUCGAAUAAAAAAAUUGUGGUAGUUUUAAUAUUUAGUAAUAAAAAAAUUAGAAUAAUAUUAAUUUUGCAAUAUCUAUCUAUAUAGUUGUAGUAAACAUUUUUUAGAAAAAAAACAGAUCAAGAAUCGAUCCUGUUAGGUUCAAUUAGAAAAAUCAUGGUUCAAUUAUUGGUUAAUCAAGUCCAAAUAUCGGUUUAGUUUAAUCUGACUUUUGUUUAGGCUGAGUAUGUACAAGUUUGAUUCAGUUAAAUCGAAAUCAGUAGUAAAGAUGAAGUUUUGGACAAAUUCAAAGAGUACAAACUCGAAGUUGAAAAACAACUGGAAAAGACUAUCAAAUUGGUCAGAAGUGAAGAGGUGGAGAAUAUGAUGAACCGUUCAAUGUAUUUUUUUUAGUUAAACAACAUUGUCCAUCAAACUACAGUUCCCUAUUCACAUGAAUCUAACGGAGUUGCAGAAAGAAAGAACCAAACUCUAAAGAAAAUGAUGAACGUGAUGUUGCAGAAAUCUAGGCUACCGCAGAAUCUAUGGGGGGGGGGGGGAAGCAUUUCUCACCAUUAUAUCCUCAACAAAAUACCUCAUAAGGUAACCGGCAAGACGUCCUUUGAGCUUUGGAAAGGUUAUGUACCUUCGUACAAAUACCUUAAAGUGUGGGGGUGCUUAGUAAAAGUUGCAGUGCCAUCUCCAAAUAAGGUCACAAUUGAAACUAAAACUAUGGACUAUAUCUUUAUUGGAUAUGAUCACAAUAGUAGUGUUUAUCGUUUUCUGUUACAUAAGUCAGUAUCAGACAUCCACGUGAAUACUAUCAUGGAAUCAAAGAAUGCAUCAUUCUUUGAACACAUAUUUCCAUAUAAAGAUAAGCAAACUACUAAACGCACUCGUAAAGAAAGAGAUGUGAGUACUUCUGUUAAUGAAAUGGAAGUAGAACAAGUGGAAGAUGAACCUAGACGCAGUAAAAGAGCUCGUAAGGAAAACUUUAAUGGUGAAGAUUUCACAAUGGUCUUUCUUGUUGAGAACAAACCAAGAUCUUACAUAGAAGGUAUGUCUACACCAGAAGCUCCUUAUUGAAAAGAUGCCGGCAAUAGUGAGAUGGAUUCUAUAAUGCAGAAUCAUACCUACGAGUUAACUGGCUUACCUUAAGGGUUUAGAGCACUAGGGUAUAAAUGGAUCUUCAAGACUAAGCUAAAAGCUGAUGGUUCAAUAGAUAAGUACAAGGCACGCCUUGUGUUCCAAGGAUUCAGACAAAAAGAAGGUCUAGAUUUCUUCGACACCUAUUCUCCAGUUACGAGAAUAACUUUGAUCAUAAUAAUAAUUGGUGUAGCAGCCUUGCAAGGUUUGGAAAUACUUUAUGGAUGUUAAAACUGCCUUUCUAAAUGGAGAUUUAAAAGAAUAGAUAUACAUGAAAUAACCCAAAGGUUUCGAGGUUAAGGGUCAAGAACACAAAGUGUGUAGACUCUUGAAAUCAUUGUAUGGACUAAAACAAGCUCCAAAACAAUGGCAUGAAACUGCAUGUCAUUUGUUAAUAGCUCCUACCGUAGUAAUUAUUAAAACGGCAGGCUGUUAAGAAAGUUCUGAAACUAAAGAUGGAUAGAUGACUUAAAAGAUAUUCAAAAGCAAAUAUUUAUAUAUAUAUUUUUUCUAUGGAGAUUGAAGAGGCGAUUUCAGAGAGUUUUUUGCUCUUUCUCUGUUCUCUCUUCUAAAUCAUUCACAGAGAAAUGAUGCUUUUUCUCUCUUUCUUUUGAUCAAUGGAUCGAUGGUUUUUUCCAUAUAUAUCGGAUGUUUUGUUCCGACAUAAAUCGGAUAAUAAAAGUUCUGGGUUCGUCCGGAUGUCAACCCUUUCUCUUUUACAUCUGGUCCUCCAUAGGUUUAAGGCGGUAGCGAUCAGAUCCGGUGGUGAGUGUCAAGUUUUUUCUUCGAAUUUUGGAUCAUCCUCUCUCUCGACUAGGAGUUUGAUCUCUCCUUAAGUCCCCUCUAUUAAGAGCCAUGCGUGGCAUUGUGUGACAUGUCCAGAGUCAAAGACGAUCAGUGCUAAUUUUAAUCAGAGUUUCAAGCUUUUGACAAUUUCUAAUCUAGAUCUAAUCGGAGGAGGAAUUAAGCGGUGAAGAAACAGCAAUUAAAGGUGAUGUGAAUCCAUUGGAGUUAACUUAUAUGGUUAUACUCUCUUUAUUAUCAGUUUCCAGCAAAGCUCUGACCGGCGAUGGAUCAGCGGCAUCUUCUCACCAGGAGCCGACGUCUUUCCCAAACCUGCCACGUGUCUUACAUGUGUUUACUAUUUAUCAAUCUUUAUCUGUUAGUAAUAUGCUUAAAUGAGGUUGAUUUAGAAUUUAAUGUAUACGGUUUUGGGCCUUUAUUUGCUGUAAUUUGCCCGCUUUUAGGCUUUCAUAAUGAUAUUAAAUAGACGAC